rnacentral:tRNA from 1 species
GCGGGUAUCGUAUAGUGGCUAUUAUACGUCCUUGCCAAGGAUGAGACGGCAGUUCGAUUCUGCUUACCCGCUCAA